AAUCUGAAUAUUCGUGGACAAAGAUGCUAAGUGGAGCUAUAGCCUUCCUACUUGGGUUUAUCUUCCUUCUGUUGGGGGUCGUCAUCCACCUCAGGGCUCGGAAAGGAUACAUAGAGACUCGAUUUUCUGGUGAUGAGGUGUUCGCAGGGUCUGACUGAAGCUAUCUCCUGGAGCCUGAAGUUGUACAGAGCGGCCUGGACCCGAAGCUAGCAAAGGACAUUUAUGAGGUUCUGGAAUGUUCUGGGUAUAACUUUCCUCCUUGAACCUUGGAGGAGUCUGGAGUCUUGAACUGAUUCUGGUGUUUUGUUUUCUGAGAUUGUGCAUCUUCCACCCACCCGCCCUUCUUCCUAACUUUGUUCCUAUUUGAAGAUACUGUUUGGAAACCCCUCUAAGAUCUAUUCCUUCACCUCAGAACUGUUAGGGCCGACCCUAACUCCAUAGUCUUACCCCCAGUAUUUCUAUCUCCCAACUGCAGUCUCCAUAGUCUUUGGAAGACAAAUGUUCAGAGUGUCACUGUGUUUUUAAAAACUUAAAAAAAA